rnacentral:rRNA from 1 species
GACGAACGCUGGCGGCGUGCCUAAUACAUGCAAGUCGAACGCAGUGGGGACGGGUGAGUAACACGUUGGUAACCUCCCCUCAGAGGGGAUAACACUUGGAAACAGGUGCUAAACCGAUACUGAUGGAUGAACCCGCGGUGCAUUAGCUGGUUGGUGAGGUAACGGCUCACAAAGGCCACGAUGCAUAGCGGGCAUGUGAGGGGGAGCGGCAACACUGGGACUGAGACACGGCCCAGACUCCUACGGGAGGCAGCAGUAGGGAAUCUUCGGCAAUGGACGAAAGUCUGACCGAGCAACGCCGCGUGAGUGAAGAAGGUUUUCGGAUCGUAAAGCUCUGUUGUUAGAGAGGCGGUAUCUAACCAGAAAGCAACGGCUAACUACGUGCCAGCAGCCGCGGUAAUUC